GAGAGACACGCACCCAUGCGGUCUGUCCACUGCUCCCCUUCACAGUAGAGGCAGAAAGGAGGUGUCGCCCCUAGAGUCACCCUCCAGGGCAGAAGCGAGCUCCUGUAUAAGUGGCGCCAAAACUUGUAGAAUCUCCACACGUGAAGCCUUGUGAAGACAGCCAACAGAAGAAACACCACGAUGGGCUUGCUGGAUUUCAGUCUGAAACAUCUAAGCCAGACUGUCGGGAGACAGACACACUUCAAAUACAGAAAAAGCUAAGCACGUUCCACGCAGGCUCCACAAACUGGUGAGUCAGUUCUGUCUUACAAAGGUGGGUGUUGAGAGCGACACGUCAUGCUCGCUAAACCAGCCCGACCGCUCCUGCGUUUUAACUACUUGGCAGUUUGGCUUCAAGUGGACUGGAACAAAGCGUCCUUUCCCACCACCACUCAGAAGAAACGUCAUUUGUCAUCGCCCCUAAACCUUCGGCUGUGCUUUACUAAAUAGGGAAAAAUGAUUGCAUGGCUUU